CGAAACAUGAAAGACGCGUAGGUUGGAGAUCACAUCACUGGAUAUAAAAAGGACUCAAACAUUUCAGUUCCGUCACACACCUGUUUCGUUUCGUUCCGUAAGCAUUUAAAAUGGCAAUUAAGAAACUCGAGCUUUUCAUUUUCGUGUUGGCUGCCUUUCUGGUGGUUUCCACUUCUGCAUUGCCCCGAGUUGCUCGCGCUGCUCCACAAUGCCCAGCGAGUGACGUAGGAAGCGCUGUUUUCUUUCCAGAUCCGACUAACUGCAAGAACUAUUACAUGUGCUCGUGGGGCGUUGCCUAUUUGAAAUCGUGUCCUGACGAUUUAUAUUGGAACAAGGCCAUCAACGUCUGCGAUUUCGCUAGCAAUGUCGUUUGCUAGCUGAAGACACGCGAGGAGAAGAACGACGUCCAUGAGCAACCUAUAUAAACUGCUCGAAAAUCAAUUGUAUAUGACGUCGAUUAAAUACAAUAAGAAAUCAGCAUCAGAA